rnacentral:rRNA from 1 species
AACGCGAAGAACCUUACCUACCCUUGACAUCCUCGGGAUCUUGCAGAGAUGUGAGAGUGCCUUCGGGAACCGAGAGACAGGUGCUGCAUGGCUGUCGUCAGCUCGUGUCGUGAGAUGUUGGGUUAAGUCCCGUAACGAGCGCAACCCUUAUCCUUAGUUGCCAGCCAGUAAAGUGGGGAACUCUAAGGAGACUGCCGGUGACAAGCCGGAGGAAGGUGGGGACGACGUCAAGUCAUCAUGGCCCUUACGGGUAGGGCUACACGCGUGCUACAAUGGCCGGUACAAAGGGAAGCGAAACCGCGAGGUGGAGCGAAUCCUAUCAAAGCCGGUCGUAGUCCGGAUUGGAGUCUGCAACUCGACUCCAUGAAGUUGGAAUCGCUAGUAAUCGUGGAUCAGAACGCCACGGUGAAUACGUUCCCGGGCCUUGUACACACCGCUACAGU